AGACAGUGGUUUUACACUGAAAAAGGGCAGGUUUAGAUUAGCUAUUAGGAAGAUGUUCAUUAUUGUGAGGCUGAGGAGGCACUGGUACAGAUUGCCCAGAGAAGUUGUGGAUCCCCCAUCCCUGGCAGUGUUCAAGGAUAGGCUAGACGAGGCCCUUAGCAACCCGGUCUAGUGGAAGGUGUCCCUGACUAUGACAGGGGGGUUGGAACUCAAUGAUCUUUGGGGUCCCUUCCAGCUCCAGCACAUUCUAUGACUGUAUGAUGACACACUCUUUCAUGUGUCCUGUGAGUACACUGGUCAUCAGCAAGAGGACAGAACAGAAUUGCUGAAGAUUUAAAAUGGCUGUUUCUGCAGGCAAUGCUUGCAGAGAGUGCUCUGCAGGGCUACACCAAUCGUAGGGGUUAAGGCAUUCUCAGUGUUGCUACAAUUACUGGCUCCAAUUGUUCUAAGCUCAACCAUUUUCUAGCAGAUACAUGUUAACCCUUUAUCUUCAUGGCAUCCUGUUUCAUGCCUCACCAUCAAGGAAUAGGGUAUUCCUCAGGCAUAGGAAUGGGGAUAGAGAAAGCUGCUCAGAUGCUGCUGUUGCCUGACUGCACCAGAGGUAAUGUAUCCACUGAUACAAUGCUGCCUUCAGUGCCCUCAUCCUAUUGACAUGAUAUACAGAGGAGUAGAGCAGUCAUCCCACAUCACUCUGACAACAUAUGGAUGAAGUUUAGUACAAAGGAGAUGAGCAAUAUUACCAAAUGAAAGGAAACAUCCACAGCUCUGCCUUGGGAAGGGAACCUUUCAGUUCAGCAGAUGUCAUACAAUGAUGUAAUGUCAUUGUAAUGUAACUGUCACAGACUGGCACAAAUUUAUAGAAUAAAUCAAGUCUCAGAGCAUUAUGUAGCUUUUCC
rnacentral:lncRNA from 1 species